UACGAGAGGUCCAAACGUUAUUCGGAAUCACUGGGCUUACAGAGUUCGUAGGCGGCUCUACAAGUGACGGGUGAAAUCCCUCGGCUUAACCGAGGAACUGCCUGUCAGACUGGGAGGCUUGAGACCGGCAGAGGAAGGUGGAAUUCCACGUGUAGCGGUGAAAUGCGUAGAGAUGUGGAGGAACACCGAUGGCGAAGGCAGCCUUCUGGGCCAAUACUGACGCUCAUGCACGAAAGCGUGGGGAGCAAACAGG
rnacentral:rRNA from 1 species